rnacentral:tRNA from 1 species
GGGGUUGUGGCUCAGUGGUAGAGCACUUGCCUAACAUGUGACUGGGUUUGAUUCUCAGCCCCA